rnacentral:misc_RNA from 1 species
AAGUCGUAACAAGGUAACCGUAGGUGAACCUGCGGUUGGAUCAUUACCAAUCCUUUAGUUUAAUUUGUUAUGGGAAAGAUUUAUUCUAGUACCUAGCAAAUUGACUAAACAAUCACCUGUGAACAUAAUAGUCCAUGCCAGAGAUAAUUCUGGCAAAAGAUAUACAAACACCUAUUGAUUGUCUUAAAAAUUAAAAUAAAAAUUUAAACAACUUUUGACAACGGAUCUCUAGGCUCUC